UACGGAGGAUCCGAGCGUUAUCCGGAUUUAUUGGGUUUAAGGGUGCGUAGGCGGCCUAUUAAGUCAGGGGUGAAAGACGGUAGCUUAACUAUCGCAGUGCCUUUGAUACUGAUAGGCUUGAAUGUACUUGAGGUAGGCGGAAUGUGACAAGUAGCGGUGAAAUGCAUAGAUAUGUCACAGAACACCAAUUGCGAAGGCAGCUUACUAAAGUAUGAUUGACGCUGAGGCACGAAAGCGUGGGGAUCAAACAGG
rnacentral:rRNA from 1 species